ACGUUCACACUGACAACUCAACACCAGCAGAGCAGCGUGUGGACUUCCCUCCCUCGGAGUCGAGCAAUGCUGAGGAUUACUUUGUUAGCAACGUCACGUGUCGAUUGAAGCAAAGGAAUCGGACGUACAUGAAAAUGACACGCCUCUGACACCUUCUCAUGAUCAUGGGGCCUCGAGUGACGAGCACGCUGAUGAGCAUGGGGGCACAGCAUCUUCUGAUGGAGAACCUGGUGACUAUGAGGGAGAGUCACAGCCUCCCUCAGUCCACACUGACCUUCAUAUUGCCUGCAUGAGGGGGGACCUGGCGGGGGUCCGACACAUCUUGUCUCAGCAUCUGAUGGACAUAAACAGCAGGGGACAGGUGGGCUGGACACCUGUAAUAGAGGCAGCAAGGAUGGGGAACAUAGAAGUGAUGGAACUGCUCGUGAGCGAAGGAGCUGAUGUGUCACUGGUGGAUGAUCGCGGUGACAAUAUUCUGCACUUGGUCUGUUUUCAAGGAAAUUUAGAGAUGGUCAAAUAUAUCCUCUCGAAUAACAUGGCGGACAUCAACAGCAAAGGAAUGUAUGACAGAACCCCUGUGAUUUGGGCAGGCGGAUGGGGACAUAGGGAAUUGUUGGAAUUUCUUGUAAAUGCAGGAGCUGAUGUGUCUGUGAUGGAGGAGACAACGUCCUUCACUGGGCCAGUGGUAGUGGACAUCUUGAGACGGUGAAGUAUGUUCUGUCACAGGCCAUGGCACAGAUCAACAGUAGAGGACUAUUUAACACAACAGCCGUGAUGAGGGCGGUGCAUGGGGGACAUAUACACGUAGUGGAGUUCCUUGUGGGGAAAGGAGCUGAUGUGUCAGUCGUGAAUGAUUUUGGGGACAAUAUCCUUCACAAAGCCUGUGAAGGAGGACAUAUGGAGAUGGUGGAGUAUGUCCUGUCACAGACCAUGGCUGACAUCAACAGUAGAGGACGAGAUAAGUGUACACCCGCGAUGAAGGCAGCAGCUUUGGGACACAGAGAAAUAGUCGAAUUACUUGUGAAUAGAGGAGCUGAUUUGUCUCUGGUGGACAAUUACGGUGACAAUAUUCUGCAUACUUCC